GGGGUUCCCGCGGCGGGCGGGCGGGCUGCGCCUCCGCUCGCCUUCUCAGUAGCUCCGUAGGCGUGUGGCCGUUUCUCCGCCAAUCUGAGCGCACCGCGCCACAGCAUCCUGUGGUCCCCUGCAGAUCCCACAGCGCCCUGGCCAGAACUAGUGCUGCAGGUCCGGCCGUGCCAACCCCCUCCCGGCGGGCCCCAGGGAGCUCACACGGAACUCGAGACCAGUUUUCCUUCUCCAAAAUAAAAGAUUUGGAAAACAGAAAAACAGUGGACGGUGUCCGUGGUCUUUGAAUCCUUUCUACAGGUCCUUCUCAAAUAUCAGCUGCUGAACUAUUCCCUUGGAAUUAGACUAGCAAUUUAUAAAGUACAUAACUGCAUGGUGCUAGCUUCAGAAAAAGUGUUCUGUUGUUGUUGCUGUUGUCAUUUGUUUGUUUUUUAGAGACAGGGGUCUCACUCUGUCACCCAGGCUGGAAUGCAGCGGUACAAUCAUAGCUCACUGGAACUUCAAAUUCCCAGGCUCAAG
rnacentral:lncRNA from 1 species